AUGGACCGUUUCCGUAUGGCGGCUUCCCAACCCAACAAACCAACGAUGAAGGAGGAUGGCGAAGAUGAGAUGGCGGGAUGGUGGGACAAGGCUGCGAAGAAGCUUAGAGAGGAGGAUGCAGCCAAGCUAAAGAAGAAGAAGGAAGAGGAGCUUGAGAAGGAGAGGAAGCGAAAACAGAGAGCGGCAAAUGCGAUGCGCGCUAGGGAGCAAGCGUUGGUGAGGAAAUGUGAGGAGGCACAGAAGAAGCGUCAAUAG
rnacentral:rRNA from 1 species